rnacentral:lncRNA from 1 species
AUGAAUAUGCUGAUGAUGGUUUUAAGUGAAGCCUAUGAGAUGAAGAUUCCAAUUAUACUGAAAAGCAACAUAAUAUCCAUAGGACUGGAACCAUUCCCGUGUAUGUUUGGCUGGGUCAAUAUAUUUAUUCUUGAGAACUGUGUUCUACUGUUGAGGACAAGUUAUUCUUUUUGUGGUAAGACCAUCUGGUCAUCCAUCAUUAUGUCAACCCUUGGCUUUACUCAGCUGGUGACUAUUUUCUUGCCUUGUUCAGUAGAUUCUGGAUAUCUGGACAUAAAGACAUCUAUUAAAUGCCUCAAGAAUUCACGACAUCUAUUAAAUGCCUCAAGAAUUCACAAUCUGUGGAAUGUAUGAGUCUUGUUCAGAGGUACUAAUCAAUAAAGAGAUUAUAUUGUUUUGUUUUCUGAAAUAA